CCUAGGAAUCUGCCUGGUAGUGGGGGAUAACGUCCGGAAACGGGCGCUAAUACCGCAUACGUCCUGAGGGAGAAAGUGGGGGAUCUUCGGACCUCACGCUAUCAGAUGAGCCUAGGUCGGAUUAGCUAGUUGGUGGGGUAAAGGCCUACCAAGGCGACGAUCCGUAACUGGUCUGAGAGGAUGAUCAGUCACACUGGAACUGAGACACGGUCCAGACUCCUACGGGAGGCAGCAGUGGGGAAUAUUGGACAAUGGGCGAAAGCCUGAUCCAGCCAUGCCGCGUGUGUGAAGAAGGUCUUCGGAUUGUAAAGCACUUUAAGUUGGGAGGAAGGGCAGUAAGUUAAUACCUUGCUGUUUUGACGUUACCAACAGAAUAAGCACCGGCUAACUUCGUGCCAGCAGCCGCGGUAAUACGAAGGGUGCAAGCGUUAAUCGGAAUUACUGGGCGUAAAGCGCGCGUAGGUGGUUCAGCAAGUUGGAUGUGAAAUCCCCGGGCUCAACCUGGGAACUGCAUCCAAAACUACUGAGCUAGAGUACGGUAGAGGG
rnacentral:rRNA from 1 species